rnacentral:rRNA from 1 species
GUCGAACGGCAGCACAGGGAGCUUGCUCCCGGGUGGCGAGUGGCGCACGGGUGAGUAAUACAUCGGAACGUGUCCUGUUGUGGGGGAUAACUGCUCGAAAGGGUGGCUAAUACCGCAUGAGACCUGAGGGUGAAAGCGGGGGAUCGCAAGACCUCGCGCAAUUGGAGCGGCCGAUGCCCGAUUAGCUAGUUGGUGAGGUGAGGGCUCACCAAGGCGACGAUCGGUAGCUGGUCUGAGAGGACGACCAGCCACACUGGGACUGAGACACGGCCCAGACUCCUACGGGAGGCAGCAGUGGGGAAUUUUGGACAAUGGGGGCAACCCUGAUCCAGCCAUGCCGCGUGCAGGAUGAAGGCCUUCGGGUUGUAAACUGCUUUUGUCAGGGACGAAAAGGACCGUGUUAAUACCAUGGUCUGCUGACGGUACCUGAAGAAUAAGCACCGGCUAACUACGUGCCAGCAGCCGCGGUAAUACGUAGGGUGCAAGCGUUAAUCGGAAUUACUGGGCGUAAAGCGUGCGCAGGCGGUUCUGUAAGACAGAUGUGAAAUCCCCGGGCUUAACCUGGGAAUUGCAUUUGUGACUGCAGGACUAGAGUUCAUCAGAGGGGGGUGGAAUUCCAAGUGUAGCAGUGAAAUGCGUAGAUAUUUGGAAGAACACCAAUGGCGAAGGCAGCCCCCUGGGAUGCGACUGACGCUCAUGCACGAAAGCGUGGGGAGCAAACA